rnacentral:rRNA from 1 species
AUUGAACGCUGGCGGAAUGCUUUACACAUGCAAGUCGAACGGUAGAGGGGGCAACCCCUCGAGAGUGGCGAACGGGUGAGUAAUAUAUCGGAACGUGCCCAGUCGUGGGGGAUAACGUAGCGAAAGUUACGCUAAUACCGCAUACGACCUAAGGAUGAAAGCGGGGGAUCGCAAGAACUCGCGCGAUUGGGGCGGCCGAUCGCAGAUUAGGUAGUUGGUGGGGUAAAGGCUCACCAAGCCAACGAUCUGUAGCUGGUCUGAGAGGACGACCAGCCACACUGGAACUGAGACACGGUCCAGACUCCUACGGGAGGCAGCAGUGGGGAAUUUUGGACAAUGGACGCAAGUCUGAUCCAGCCAUUCCGCGUGCAGGAUGAAGGCCCUCGGGUUGUAAACUGCUUUUGUACAGAACGAAAAGGUCUCUCUUAAUACGGGGGGCUCAUGACGGUACCGUAAGAAUAAGCACCGGCUAACUACGUGCCAGCAGCCGCCGCGG